CUGAAGAAACUGCCUCCACAAACACUCUUGGCUGGCGUUGCAGGGGCAUUCGACCUGACAGAGUUUGCAAAAUCUUGAUGAUUUUUGUAAUAUGGUAUGGAGAUUCGAGCUGGAAUUGGACAUGGAAGAGGUGAUGAGUAAGGUACUCCGUCGUCAUAUUCUGAUAAUGCUGCAGCGGCUCUACGAGAUCUUGAUCUGGGUUUGAUUUCAACUAUUUUUGGGCUUUCAUCAAAUUCAUAAGAUGCAAACAGCCUCUCACUGUGGAAUUCACUUUUUGUAUCAUCAAAUUUUUCCUGAAAAUGUUAAAAAAAGAAACCAAGUGAACCCAUUUCUUCAAUAAAAAGAUUGGACUUCAUACAAGUUUGCAAAACAGGAUCUUACAAUUGAUUUUCGUGGUCGGUUUUCAGGUUGAAAUCUAUUCUCCUUGUUUAUAGAACGACGAGCACGUUGGGAUCGAACAGAAGUUUGAGCUCUUAUAAGAGCUUGCAUACUGUGAAGAGUUGCAGCAGCCUGCUUUCGGACCAGAUAGCCUCUAACAAGUGCCUGCAUCUUCACCAAUCCUUUCAAUGCUCGAAGAGCUUUUCGAGCCUGCGAUUAACCAAAUAAACCCAUUAAGAAUAUUAAAGAGUCAAUUUACAGAACACCUUACAAACACAGCUUUCUCAUGGAGCAGUUCAUAGAGCAGAUGAAAAAGAAAAGACGAGUUGAAGUAGGACUUAGCAAUCAUCCCAAAACAGAGGGGACCAAAGAAAAAACAUUUGAAUCAGUGUUUCCAGCUUUUGAGAGAGUAAGAUUUAAGAAAAGUAACUAAAGCUAAAAGCUAAAUUUACUUUUCUCAGAAAAAAUGUAGUACUGACACUGUUUCAUUAAUUACCCUUGGUGUGUGUUUCCAGCUUUCACGAGUAGACAUAAAAGCAAUUUAUACAAUUUCCUCCACAAUGUUAUAAACAUUUUGUUACAAGGAAGAAAAAAAAACACACAAUUGUAAUAAAGCAGAGCAGAAACUGCAAAAAUCUAAAAAUACCCAGAUGAGAGUAUCAACUUUUGAACUUGAUCUGAAUCAUACCCAUGAAAAAAGAAAAUUAAAAAAAGCUGAAAAUUACUCUGUCAAAACCACCCACUUAUCAGUAAGAAAAUUUUUUAAAUAAAGCCCUACUUUUGCUUACCAAAAAGCCUCUGAAAACGGUUUGAACUUUGAUUGCAGCCCACUUCUCUGUCUCGCUACCAUACGUUGUCCCUCUGCCAUUGCUGGUCAGCCUCACUACCGCCAUCGCGGCCUGUGCUGCAGCCACUGCAUCGUCGGCCGCUGCAGCCGUCGCAGAUGCCACAGCUAUUGCGUGUUUGUUCUGAUCUCUUUCAGUCUCAGCAAUGUAGGAUCUGAGCCAGGCAGCAUCUUUCACCUGAAGGUUAUAACGAGGGAUCACACUGUUAUCCCUUCCUGAUUUGCCAAAACUCCAUCUUGUUUUCGCUCUCUUUUCGCUUGAAAUUGAACUUGAACUGUCACCACCAUUAUCUCUUCCUUUAUCUUUCUUCAUCCCCAACAAGCCUUUUAGCCACCUUGUAGCUUUACCCAUCUUGUCUAGAUCUCUCUCUCGUUCACUACAACUUGGAUAAUCUUAGAAAGACAAACAAUGCAUUAGAGCCCAGAAUGUGAAGCACUGAAUAAAUUAACAAUUAAACUAGAAAUUGAAGUAGCAUGAGAAAAAGUAAAAACCAAGCAAUUAAAUAAAUAAAUUAUCCAAUUCAAAAAACUAAAACAGCGCCGGAUUUUAUCUUUCUCCCUCUCUGCUAUUCCUUUAAAUCAAGCCGAAAUUAGCUGCACGAAUCGUGGAUUCUGAUUUAAAGCCUCGGAAGAAAUCGUCUAAUGUGCUUUUUGUAACCUGAUUUGAGAAGGAUUCAUUUACUGAGCCAUUAAUUCGGAUUAUUUCCCAUUUGAUUCAGAAUUUGGUAACGGCAAAUAAAAUUUGAUUUAAAUAGCUUGAAUUAAGGCGAGAAUGUUUGGUUUAUUGGUUUUUGUCUGGUAAUUGCUUUAUAUGGAAUUGUUACCCGCCAUUGGCUGAUUCAUAUGUUGGCUUUUCCAGUUUAAGCCAGCAGAGGUUGCGGCCAUCAUGAAAGAUUUUGAUGAACCUGGAUCCCUUGCACCAACAGGUUUGCACCUUGGUGGCACAAAGUACAUGGUGAUCCAAGAAGAGGCUGGAGCUGUGAUUGGCGGGCGUUUUACAAAAUUAGGAUCGGGCGAAUAUAAUUUUGAUAAUUUACGGUCGGCUAAAAUUUAUUUACCGAUUUGGAGUUCGCCUACCACGUGGCAGGUGAAAAGAGGACUUGGCGCUUUUUUGACAGACGCCAGACCUGGCCGCUUCUCAAAGAGGCGUCUGGCACGUGAGAAGCUUGUUUUCUUCUUUUUUUUUAAUUUUUUUAUUUUUAAUUAUUAAUAUAUUAUAAUUAAAUAUUUAUAUUAUAUUAAUUUAAUAAUUAAAUAUAUAUAAGAGUAUUAAAUUAAAUAAUUAAUAAAAAAAUUAAUUAAUUAAUUAAUAUGAAAAUUUAAAAUUAUAAAAAUUAAAUUUAUUUGUUAUUGUAUUUUUAUUUAAAAUUAUAAAAUAAAAUUAUACUGUAAUUUAAAUAAUUAAUAAAAAAUAAAUAAAUAAACUAAUUAAUAUGAAUAUUUAAAAUUAUAAAAAUUAAAUUUACUUUUUAUUAAAUUGUUAUUUAGAAUUAUAGAAUAAAAUUAUGUUGUGAUUAAAUAUUAUAUGUGAUCACCUAAUUAUUUAUAAUUUAUCAAAAAUAAUAAAUUUAAUUAAAUAUUUUAAUAGCAAAAUAAUAUAAUAAUUUUAAAUAUUUUAUAUAAAUUGUUUAUAAUUUAUUAAAAAAAUAAAUAAAUUAAGUAAUUAAUUCAAUUAAAUAAUUUUGUAUAAAUUUAAUAGCAGAUUAAUAUUAUAAUUCUAAAUAUUUUUAUGUGCAUUUCUUUAUUAUUAAGUUUUAUAAUAUUUUUAUAUAUUAAAAAUAUUUUUAUAAAAUAUAAUAACUGAUGACCGCUGGAUUUCUUCACCCCAGAACAGGGGCGUGACCGCAGCCAAAGGCCCAUGAUACAGAGGCCCACGCACUUGAUACCCCCCAACAAGCCUGGCUCAUUCCAGCUUCCGGGCCGGGCUCGACCAAGCUUCCUCACUCAGUCCAGUCUGAUCCCUGACCAGCAGACCCCUCUCAGGCCCAGCGUCCAGCCCAACUCUCGGCCCAGCCCGGGGUCCAGAACAGUACUCACCAGACAGCCUGGCAGAUCCGCUCGAACGUACGCAUGAGGAGAAUCAGAGGCCGUUACGCAUGUAACAGGCAGCUGAUACCCUAGUACACCCGAAUCUGUAUGGCAGAGACGCGUGGCCCAAUCCUGGAGAGACCUUUACACGUCACCAGCAAGCAAGACAAUGUAUAAAAGAGGAGUCCCCUCCUCAGAAUGUUUUAAGCUUUAUUAUUCAAUACAAAAACCCUAUUCUAUUGGAUCUCAGAUCAUCAAUAACUAUUUAUAACUGAUUUUAGUACUUUGCAGAGUUAUAAAAUAAUAUUAAAUGUGUACGAAAUUACCGGUACUAUUUAAUUACAGAAUUACUGUAUUAAUCUAUUAAAAUAAUAAAAAAUUUUAUUAUUGGAUAAAUGUAUAUUAUAAAAAAUUUAAUAAAGUGAUCUUGUAUACGAUAAUAUUAUAUUAUAAAUAUUAUUUAUGUGCAGUCUUUUAUUAUUAAACUCUUAUAUAUUAAAAAUAUUUUUAUAAAAUAUAAUAACUAUUUUUAAUUUGCCUUGAUACUUUAGAGAGUUAUUAAAUAAUAUUAUUAUGUGAUUAAAUGUAUAUAAGAUUACUCAUACUAUUUAAUCAUAGUAUUAAUACAUUAAUUUAUUAAAAUAAUAAAAAAAUUUAUCACUAUAUAAAUAUAUAUUAUACGAUAAAUUAUUUUUAUACUUUCAAUCACAAUCGAAUUAUUUUUAUACAUCUAAUUACAAUAAAAUUAAACUUUAAAAUUAUAUAAUAUCAGUAAUUUUUUAUUUAAAAAUUAAUAAUAAAAUCUAUUAAAUAUUACAACAUUAAAAUUAUUAAAAAAAAUUAUUAUUAUAAAAAUAUAAUAUUUUUAAAUUAAUAUAAUAUAAAUAUUUAAUUAUAAUAUAUUAAUAAUUAAAAAUAAAAAACUAAAUUGUGGCCUGGAGUGGCGCCAGGCCACAAUGUAAAAAAACAAAAAAACAAAUCUCGUGGCGCCUCUUUGAAAGGCGGUCGGGCUUGGCGCUAGGUCCUCUUUUCGCCUGCCAAGUGACAGGCGAACCCCAAAUCGGUAAAUAAGUUUUAGCCGACUCCAAAUCGGCAAAAUUAUAUUCACCCGACCCUAAUUUUGCAAAAAACCCGUGAUUCGCGGAAAGAAGGUGUUUAAUUGUUUCGAUAAUUGGGUUUCUUAUUUAUUCUCAUUGUUAUAUUGAUCUAUAUUUAGUCUGAAUUAUGUGGCAGUUGUUAAAUUUUAGGCUUUUAUAUUAUGCUACAAUUUAGUGCAUAACACGAUAUCACAUUUACUUUAUGAAGAGCUCAAAAUCGCAGAAUACAUUGUGAAUACAGACGUUGUCUGCAGAUGAAAUUCCAUAUUCUUCAUACGUUAACAAUCAUUUUACAGGGUUCCGGUGGCGUCACUGUGAAGAAAACGAACCAAGCUCUCAUUUUUGGUAUUUAUGAUGAACCAAUGACAGCAGGACAGUGCAACAUGGUUGUAGAGAGGCUGGGUGAUUACCUCCUUGAUCAAGGCCUGUAGGCUCUUAAUUCUUCGACUUAGCUUCAUGGUUGUCAAAUGCUGAUUUCUGGUUUGGGCUUGCAGCUGGCCAUGAACUGGCAUUAAUGAUUUUGCUGGGAAAUAACGUUGUGAGGACAAAACAGUGAUUUUUUCCCCCUACUUUUGUUGUUGAUUGUGUAGGUCCAUUGCCUUUUUCUUUUCAACUCCAGCUAUGCUUUCUUAAUUUAUGUGUAUUCAUGCUCCGGUCUAUUAAUUAAGUUUGCGUAUUUCAAGUUUGAACGUUUUGGAUUUAUUUUAUAAUACAUAAUACAAAGAUUUUCUAUAUGGGAUUUGAUACUGGUACAUUUUUUGAUUUUCUUGGAAUACAUUUACGUUUCUGUACAAAGCUUGGUGGUGAGAAAAUGCGUAUUCUGAUAACAGCCAAAGCGAACAGUCCAUGCUGUUCUUGAUGCAUCAUAACAAGCCAGCAAGUUUCCAUUUGCUAUGAUUUCUACCAUUUUCUGUUGAUGCAAAUCAUACUUGCUUUAACGUGGAAAAGAAAAAUGGUGUCUAUGGGUUCAUGAAGUGUCAUGAAGUUCCCCUUUGCACGCAGUACUUUUCUUGUUCUCGAUGUGUUCAUGAAGUGUUUUUUUCCUUUUUUUUUUUUUGCUUAAAUGGGAAGAGUAGGCCCAAUGCGCAAGUACAAAAAUCCAAAUACAAAUAGCUAGCAUUCCUAGCUCUAACAAAAGGCCAAUGCCCAACACAGCAUAAAACUCUAGCUAAAUCAGUAAAUUCUAAUCGGGAAUUCAAAUUCAAAAUCCUAUUGUAAAUAUGAUUUUGGUUUUAUUAAGUUAAUUUUUAAUUAUUAUAAAAAAUUAAGUAAAUAUAAAUAUAAUACUUAAUAAGUUCUAGCAUUAUAAUUAUCUUAUAUUAUGAUAGAAAUUAUAGAGUAAUUGGAUUAAUUAGUUAGUUUUAAUUACUUAUUGUAAAUAAUAAAUAGAACCAUUAUGAUUUUUUUUCAUCCGAAUGCUUUUUAUUAUUUUUAUAUAUUACUACAAGUCUGUAAAGUAUAGAUAUUUUAUUUAAUUCUUUUAAAUAUGCAAUAAUAAAUAUUAUAUUAAUAUUUAAUAAUUAUAAAUAUAAUUAUAUGAACACAAAUGCAAGCUACAUUCUCCAUUUUCAAGGCCAUUACCUUUUUCAAAACCUUUUUGUUUUUUCACAACUUGCUAAGAAAAAUUAUUAUUGUUUGAUGUGUUCAAAGAAAAAUAAUUUUUUCAAUUCUAAGUUAGUUUUUCUUUUUAAUUUUUUAUUUAAUCUAUAACAAUGUUUUAUUUAAUUAAUAAAAAAAAUAUCAUUUUUUUUAAAAAAGUAUUUAACUGAAAAAUAUAAUUUUCUAUACUAAACAAUGUUAUAAUACUAAAAGGUAAGAGUUUUUAUUUGUUUAAAGUUUACCAUUUUUAUAUUUUAAUAUAUUAAAAUAAUUAUAAAAUAUUGAAUCCAUUUAAAAUAUUACAUUUUUUGCCCUAGCAUUUGGGCCGAACUCUCAAAAUUGUAUUUAUCUAUAGUUAUCGGCCCAGUGCGCGGUGGCAAGGGUAUUUAAGUCACUGCGCAAAAGGGUGCAGUGCGGUGCAGCGCCAUAAAAACCCUAGCGUUCGGUAACAGCGGCUGUCUUCUUCUAUAUAAGACUCGCAAAACUCCUCGACUAAGCCGUCGAAAUCGUCUUCUUGGUUUGAUAAUCUGAUUUCUAAUUUUUUUUUUCUUCUUGAAUGUUUCUGAUUUCGCCUUCUAUAGCAGGGAUGGUGUGUAUCGGCGUUGUGCUGCAAAAAUGCACUAUGAAUCCGAAAGAGUUCCCUGCAAUAUAACAUCUGGGGAAGAUGGGCAGUUGUGUUUCAUUCUUAGCCAUUGAAACUUUUCAACAAUCAUCUUCCCCACAUUUUCUUUUCUGCUGUUUGUCAUUUGUUUUGUUUUUUUAUUUUUUAAUUAUUUUUUUUCUAUCCAUAUUAGGAAGAUGAUAUCGAUUAUAUUAUGCAGUUGUUUUACUGAUUGUCAAACUCAAUCUUACAGGUAAACUAAUGAUUUCUGGAUAAUCGUCCUCAUUUGAACUAUUUUAAACCCUAAGACUAAAUUUUUAGCAAAAAUUAUAUUUCAUCGUAUAUGAACUAAUGAUUUCUUGCAAUAUAUAUCUAGUUAUUUUAUUCAAAAAAUAGAAAUUAUUUAAUUAUAAUAAUUGAUAUUUCAAAUAAUAUAAUUUAUAGGUUCUUUUCUGAUAAAAAUUAAUUUUUAUAUUUUAUUUCAUAGUUUUAUAUUUAAUAAAAUAAAAAUUGAUAACUAAAAUAUAAAUAAGUGUUAUUAUAAUCAAAAUAAAUUAAUUUAACCCCAAGUAAAUAUGUGUGUGUAUAUAUAUAGUUGGGGAAAUUAAUCAAAUUUUAAUUUAAUUAAGAUAAUUGAUAAAAAUUUGAAAAAGUUAGCUAAUGUUGAUAACAUGGGAAAAUAUUUAAAAAAAUUGAUAAAAUUCAAAUCAAUGAAAAAUUGAGUUUUCAAUCAUCCUUUGGAUGGGCUCCAAGGCUAAGAACUGCAACUACAGACUUGAAAGGUAAAAGACGGCUGCAAUGACCCACACAACCAGCUUCAGAAAAAUUCAGGCCCACAUUCAAAGCCCAGUGAUACAAAACCCGGAAGAUCCGGGCUCAUAUUUGAGAAACCCUAGUUUUGCCAAGAUGCGAAGCUUUUAAACUGCCGCCGCCUAGUAUGAAGCCGGAGAAGCUUUCCACAGUUGCCGCUGAUUGCCACAACUACAAGCCACUCAUAUAUCAAGUAGGCUAAAGGGUAUAAAGAUUCCAAUGAGAUAAGAUAUCAAUUAUAAAUUCAAUAAAAAUAUUUAAUUUAAUUUUUAUAUAAUAAAUUAUUUGAUAGGCUAGUGUUGCCCAUGGUAUUAGCAACAGCAUUCCUUUUCAUUAUGAUUUAGCAACAUAUAUUUAUAAGAAGAAUUUAUUUGUGUUUAUUAUUAUUAUUAUUAUUCUCUAGGCUGCCAUAUUAAAUCAGCAGAAGGGCUUUGCAUGGGUAUUAGACAGUGACUCUAUCUAGUCAUAGAGCUUAUCCUUUCAUUGCAGGAGCCAGGAGACAUGGUCAAGUAAUUAUAGCUAAGUUUAGAAGAUAAUAUCGAAUCUCAGGAUAAGGCAAAAUCAUUAUUUAUAUAUGUCAAGCUGAGUUGUGAAAAGGACUUUACUCUUUCAUUCACCUCUAACUUCAUGGAUUCUCUAUGCAAUCUACUCCAUGUGUCACUGUUUUUCUCCAUCAAAACACCCAUGUAGCCUCCUUUCUUUUCUUAAACAAAUUUCCCACCAAUCAAAAUUUUAUUUUCCCAAGUCAAAAUCUUAUUAUAUUCUUUAUUAUCAUGGAAACUCUAUGUCCCUAGCUGUGACAGAUUCUUUUUCCUUAAAAGUGACCAACCUAAUCCUUGUAUUUUCCUAUCUUCAUACAUGUGUAGAAUUUGUGCAUAUAAAUUCCCAUCCAAGAAUGUUUUAAGUUUCUAUUUAUGGCCAGUUUCUUCAAGACAAGAACUCUCAUGUUCAUGGGUGAAGGUGAAGAGCAAAAGCUUGAUCAGUGGAUGAUCAUGGAAGCUGAUGAUGAUGAUGAUGAUAUCUAUAACACAUCUUCACUUGAUAAUUCAAGUACUUCUAAUGGAUCCAGUUCUUCAUCAGAUGUGGUAGAUGAUGAUGAUGAUGCAUCUUCACCAAGCUCAACCUUAUCUACAAAUGAUCCUUUGUUUGAAUUCUCUGAGCUCAUGGCCCAUUUACCCAUCAAGUAAGUAUUAUACCCAUAAAAAAAAACUUGAAAAUUCUCUUUAUUGCCAAAUUAAUCCUGCCUUCAUCUAUGUGCAGGAGGGGAUUAUCCAAAUAUUAUCAAGGAAAGUCUCAAUCUUUUACAUCUCUAUCAAGAGUAAUGAGCAUUGAAGACCUUCCAAAGAAGGAGACUCCUUAUAGAAGAAAAAUGAAGGUAUCUAAGAGCUAUGGCAAUGGAUUGGAUGCAUACAAGCCAUAUACACUCCCAAAGGCAAUAAUAUCAAAGAAGGUCUCAAGAGGUUCUCUGUCUUCUUUAUCUUUUCCAGGUAGAAAAGGCAGUUUUCUAAAUAGCAGCAGGCCUCCUCCAGCUCCUCCUCCACAGAAGAAAAUCUGAGUGCAUAAUUCUCAAGUUGCUUGACUUGAUGUAGAUACACAGUCGAUGAACAAAAAUUUUCUCAUUUUCAUCUCUUCUUUUCUUUUCUUUUUUUAUAAAAAAAGGUCACAGCUUUUCUAGAGUUGAAGACUUUUGUAUGCCAUUCAAAGAAGAAUGAUAACCUCACAGUUCAGGUGACAGAGACCAGUAGUGGAACAUGAAAAGGAUAUCCACGUUCUGUUUUAUGAAAUAGUUAAAGCUUUUAAUUAUCAGAAGCUAUGCUUUUUAAAGCUAAGAUUAAAAAAGUCAUCUUAAUCUUUUAUCAAUAAUAAAUCUACUAGCAAAUGGAAUCCACCUUCAUUAUUGGGAAGCAUUAUCAAGAAAGCAAUUACAGACAAUAUUAAAAAGGAGAAAGAAUAGGAUUAGAUAUCAAGAUGAAGUAAAUCAAUUAGUUGAAUUCUUACUAGAAUGAGUUCCUACAUAGCAUUAACAGAAUAUUUAAGUCUACAGUUUAGGAAACGUCAGAAAUCAAUAUUCUAAGACUCUUGAGAGUACAAGAGAAGGAGAAGGCUGCAAAAUGAAACAACAGAGAAAAGCUGUUUCAUAAGAAGCAAGUUCAGUAGAAUAAUCAUGGAGAUGCAAUUGCCCGAUUGCGGAUCCUGCUUGAUCGCCUCAGAGGAGUUAUUGCUUCCUGCUUCAACACAAACAAGAAACAUAUAAAUAUUACUAAAACUUCUAUUCUCCAAACAUUUUAAGUAGCAAAAAGUACAAGGAAAGUUCUUGUCACUUGCCUCUUUCUUUAUAAUUUUCUUCUCAUCAGUAUAUGAAGGCGAAUUAAUGUUUGAGAUAUGUGAUAAAGCUGGAUGCAUACGAACAGGAACUGAAUUAGCCCUGCUGCCUGUCUCCUUCUUCUCCAUGGAAACGGAAUAGCUGCUCACUUCACUCUCUAUCAUUCUGCUUUUCAUGCCACAGCUCCUAAGAGAGCUGCUCAUCUCCCCCACCACUAGCUCACCAAGCAACUCAAUUGUUGGGGAUCGGAUUUCAUAUCUUUGUUUGGAAUCUUCUUCCAAUGAAUUCGUCACGGACCUGGAGUUGGCAAAUGAAACAGGAUGUUGAGUGUGCUCAUCCUUAUCUUCCUCAUUAGCAAGGAGUGAGCAGCAUUUUUCUGCUAUCACAGAGUCGAGACAAGGUUCAACAACAGGAUGAGCGUCCUUUCUUGCAUUUCUAUUCUUUCUAAAGUGAAGAGCCAAUGCCAGGGACGCUGCAAUUGAAGAAAAGAUAGAAAAUCCAACGACAGCUUUCAGAAUUGAUUCCAUUUCCAUGUGUUUGAUAAGCCCCUCCUUCGUAAUCAAAAUUUCAUGGGCAUCAUCAGUGACAUUUCCAAUUCCACCCAUUUCCCCGUUAAAGGUUUCUUCUUUGAUUGGCUCACCCACCAUCUCAUUUUCCUUCUCAGAAGUAUUUGGAACGCUUGAUUCAUUCGUUAGGGGCAUCUGAAUCACUUCAAGAGCUUCCAGUCCCUGCAACCCAGAAUUUGCAGCCAACUGAUCAGAAAUUGCCACUUCAAGGUCACUAGCAUCUGCAAUUUCUCCUGCUUGUACCUUGAAAAUCUUGUCAACUACUUCCUUCUCUCCAUACUCAACAAUCUCCAUAGCCUCACUUUCUCCUCCUUCACUAAACUCAUCUACUGCUCCUUCCUGUUCAUAUUCAACCAUCUCUACUACUUCAUUCAAUCCAUCACUGUCUUCUGUCUCUCCAAAAUUUACAUCUUCAAUCAUCUCUUCUUCCUCAAUUCGAUCUGAAUCAACAGAACUCAUUUGCGUUCCUUCUCUGUCAACCAAGAAUUUUCCAAUCUCAAGACUCUUCACAAAUUCAUAUACAUGAUCUUGUAUCAUGUGAUAUCCAUCCUUGAAACUCCCAACAGCUUGUACAACAGGUGGAGGUGUGGGAGAGUUCAUAGAGGAAAUAUAUGAAGUAGAAAACACCAGAACAGUCAACAAGACCAAAACUUUAAGUAUUCCUCUAAAACCCCAUCCUCUUUCCUCAUAUUCCUCCUCAAAUUCAUCUUCACUUUCAUCCAUCUCUUCAUUUUCUUGCUUCACAUUAGCAUCGUUAGACCCAGUUGCCAAGGAACCACAAGAACUAGCCAAAAUACCUUCACCAUUAAUGCCUUUCUCGGUCUCCAAACAAUCAUUUUCAACAGUUGUUAACCCAUCGCCAUUGCCUUGUUUCGCCUGAUUUUCUCUUUUAAGAAAUAACUCCUGGCGCCUGUUGGGCUUAUAGCGGAGAAAUUUAGGCCUUGGAGAGAGGCAAUUGGUUAAGGGAUCAUAAGGCCUUGAUGAUAAAUCAUCAACAAGAGCCUUUUGCUCUUUUUCAUCAAACUCAGUACUAGAAGUGGUUUUUGAAUCUAGACUUGUGGGCAUUUGGGUGGCUUUUGAAUCAAGAUUUGUUGAGAUUUUCUGGAAAGAGUUGUCUAGAGUCUCAUUCCUUUCCGCCAAGAUUUUCUUUCUUGGGGGAUUGAUUUUUGAAGCUCCAGAUAUUGUUGGUGACAUAUAGUGCUUUGUUGUUGGUUUCUUUGAGCUUUGUACACUUAGCCCCAUUUCUCCAUAGCUUUCCUCAUUUUCAUCUGUGCCUAUACAUUACAAAUUAACUUCCUUAGUGCAAAACACAAUUUCUAUUUCUCAUUUGGUUGCUUGAAAAUUGACAAAAUAAAAAAUAAAAAAACAAACAGAAAAACAAAAGGAAAAGAAACUUUACCUCUGGAGAUUGAAGGAGGCUUAAUUGGAGCCGAUGAUGAGGAAACGUCCUUAUCAAGACCAUCCAUUUCCUUGACUACAGUGAAGUCUAGAGCUCUAAAUGAAACUUUUUUUUUCUUCCCUUUUUUGUUUAUCUUUUGGAGGGAGAGAAGAGUGUGGAUGGAAUGACAAAAGAAAGUGAGUCGAUAAAAUGACCGUUGCGAAGUGAAUCGCGUUGAAAACUAUGCUAUUUAUUUAAAAUUUUAAAAUCCAGUUUUGUUUACCGUUGGAGGGCGUGUGUGUCUAACGGGUAGUUCCUAGAGCCUAUUGUCCAUGAGGCCUGGCCCACCUAUUUAACGUGCAUGCAAUAAGAAAAUGAAAAAACAAAUGGCCCAUGCAGGUCUCGAACCUGCGACCUUCGCGUUAUUAGCACGACGCUCUAACCAACUGAGCUAAUAGGCCGUUGCGUUUUAGCAAGUCUGUAUAAAUCAUUUGUAAGAUUUUUUUCUUUCCUAGACAAAUCUAACAUAUUCUCUACUUUCUAUUAUGUAAUUGUUAAAGUAAAUAUUUAUAGAUUAAUUUAAAUAAAAUUAAUUAAUUUGUAUAAUAUAUAUAAAUAUUUAUGUGUAUUGAAUUUAUUUUUAUUGAACAUAUUGCAAUAAUUUAUCCUUGUGUUUGAAAUUGGAAAAUUGAAAUAUAAAAUUUCAAUUUAAUAAAACAUAUAUUGUAAAUUGUUAUUAUAACAUAAAUUCAUAUAGGAAAAAUAUGAUAAUUAAAAAAUACGGUCUAAUUUAAAAAAAAAAAUUUUGAUCGCCAUAAAACUCAAAGCAUCAUUAAAAACCCGUCCUACUUUUAAAAUGGCGAAUUUUUACACGAAAUUACUAUAAUUAAAUAUUCUCAUUACAUUUAUAAUCGUGAAAUUAUUAAUCUGUUAAUUGAUAAUAUUUUAUAUCAAGCAACCGGCAUAUGAUCGCCAAAUUAUAAAAAAUAUCAUAUUUAUUUUUACUAUUUUAUAAUAUAAAAUAAUAAAAAAUCACAUAAAUAAAAAUAUAUCUUUCUUAAACAACUAUUAAGUUCUAAGAUAUUUACUAUAUUCUCUUUAUUUUUUAAUAUAUUUUGUAGAGUCAGAAUAACUGCCGUGAGUAUUUACCAUCAUUUCACAUUUUUUUCUUUACAGAUAAUAUUAUGUUAAUCACAAUAUAAUUUUAUUUUAAUUAUAUUAUUAAUUUUAUGUACGAAUGUAUAUUAAAAUUAAUAAAUAUGAUAGGAUUCAUAUUUAAAUAUAAAUUUGAAAUGAUUUAUAAAAUAGUGUAAUUUCAAAUAGACUCCAAAUAUCUCUUAAUAAGUGAGGUGAUGCUACUUAAAAAUCCACAAUUCAUUAAAAAAUAAUACAAAAAUUAAAUUUAAAACCUCAAUUUGAAACAUAAAUAUCCAUAUAUAAGUGUAUACGUGUAUUAAAUCCACCAAUAAAACGUUAGAAAUUCCAACACUAAACCUUCCACAAAUGACAUAUAUGUAUGGGUUACCGACACAAGGCCAGAGGUAAUUUUUUAAAAAAUAAACCAUAAUUUAGGCCAUCCCUAAUUUUAUUGCUUCAAGAAUUCCAAUGAUGUCAAUCUCAAAAUACACUAUAAUGAAAUUAAGUAUUGAUUAAUAAAAAAUCAGAGACUAUCAUCUCUUUGAACUGAAAACUCUAUUAUGUUUAGACGUAAUUUAAUAUUUUUUAAGAAUAAAUUAUAAAUAAAACAAUAAGAGUGAAGGAUACAAUACAAGCUUUAUUGUUUUUAAUUAUAUUAAUUAUGAAAAAAAUAAAUAAUGCCUUGGAAUUCUGUACUAAUCUAGGGUUAGUAUUAAAUUAAUUAUUAUAAUAAUAUUACCAUACAGAAUAAUUUAUUUUAUUAAAAAAAAAUAUUUUACUUAUUGCCAUAAUUUCAAAACAUAAAUAAAAACUUGAAACCCAUUUACCCAUCAUCCAUAAAACAUAUCAAGAUCAGAUAAUGGCCUUACUAGAAAUUGUGGUCUAGAAUUCCAUUUUUGGGUUGGUUCUUAAAUCCCAUCAAUGGUCUAACCACUUGUCUCACUUCUUAGAACAGAAGUCAAACCUUUUAAUGGAAAAUUUCAUUGCUUGCAAUUUGCUUUUCUAUUGUUAUUUUAUACCUAAGUUUUUUAUUUUUAAAUAAUUAUAUAAAUAUGAAAAAUAAGAGAAUUGAGAGUAGAGAUUAAAGUUUAAACUUUGGCCUAACAUUUUAAAUUUUGAACAAGUAUCUCUCAGAAAUUCAAGGUGAAGGCUGCCUUGAGUGGCAUGAAGCAACUUCAUGGAAGUUUCAUAAAAGCCCAAGGUUAUAAGUUCUAUUUUUAUUUUUGAAAAAUCCAUAUCUGAUCCUUAAUCUUGGGAAUUAGAUACAUUAAUAAACGGUAAAAGUCCACAUUCAGAGAUUCUGUGCAGAGGAGAUACAAAUUUUGCAAUUCUUGAUUUCAAAUCCAAGCUCAGAAUUGAACAUAACAAGAAAAAAAAAAAAAAAAAAAAGCUUUCAUUUCAUUUUCUAAGUAAUUUACACAGACCAGACUUUGAUCAAUCCUAGCUAUUAACUGUCAACCUUAGUUGAAAAGAAAAGCUUAGGAUGUCUUUGUUUAACAGAACCCAUCAAAGACCUAAACCUUCAUCGGCUUGGGAACAUAAUCUGUGCAUUCUGACACUGCUUAUGCUAUUCCUAGCAGCCAUUAUUUCGUUGAGCGAAAGCUUCUUCUUUGGCCCUGGCUCCGCCCGCUGCUUUGGAGCACUGUGAGACCUCAAUUUGGCCUUGAAGGAUUUUGUGUAGGACAUAUAAUUAGGAAAGUUUGAGUGAGGCCUGAAGAAACUGCCUCCACAAACACUCUUGGCUGGCGUUGCAGGGGCAUUCGACCUGACAGAGUUUGCAAAAUCUUGAUGAUUUUUGUGCAUUCUGUGCAUUCUGACACUGCUUAUGCUAUUCCUAGCAGCCAUUAUUUCGUUGAGCGAAAGCUUCUUCUUUGGCCCUGGCUCCGCCCGCUGCUUUGGAGCACUGUGAGACCUCAAUUUGGCCUUGAAGGAUUUUGUGCUGGACAUAUAAUUAGGAAAGUUUGAGUGAGGCCUGAAGAAACUGCCUCCACAAACACUCUUGGCUGGCGUUGCAGGGGCAUUCGACCUGACAGAGUUUGCAAAAUCUUGAUGAUUUUUGUAAUAUGGUAUGGAGAUUCGAGAUGGAAUUGGACAUGGAAGAGGUGAUGUGUAAGGUACUCCGUCGUCAUAUUCUGAUAAUGCUGCAGCGGCUCUACGAGAUCUUGAUCUGGGUUUGAUUUCAACUAUUUUUGGGCUUUCAUCAAAUUCAUAAGAUGCAAACAGCCUCUCACUGUGGAAUUCACUUUUUGUAUCAUCAAAUUU
rnacentral:lncRNA from 1 species